rnacentral:rRNA from 1 species
GGGUUGUGAGGUUAAGCGACUAAGCGUACACGGUGGAUGCCCUGGCAGUCAGAGGCGAUGAAGGACGUGCUAAUCUGCGAAAAGCGUCGGUAAGGUGAUAUGAACCGUUACAGCCGGCGAUGUCCGAAUGGGGAAACCCAGUGCAAUUCGUUGCACUAUCGUUAACUGAAUACAUAGGUUAACGAGGCGAACCGGGGGAACUGAAACAUCUAAGUACCCCGAGGAAAAGAAAUCAACCGAGAUUCCCCCAGUAGCGGCGAGCGAACGGGGAGCAGCCCAGAGUCUGAAUCAGCUUGUGUGUUAGUGGAACGGUCUGGAAAGUCCGACGGUACAGGGUGAUAGUCCCGUACACCAAAAUGCACAGGUUGUGAACUCGAAGAGUAGGGCGGGACACGUGGUAUCCUGUCUGAAUAUGGGGGGACCAUCCUCCAAGGCUAAAUACUCCUGACUGACCGAUAGUGAACCAGUACCGUGAGGGAAAGGCGAAAAGAACCCCGGCGAGGGGAGUGAAAAAGAACCUGAAACCGUGUACGUACAAGCAGUGGGAGCACCUUCGGGUGUGACUGCGUACCUUUUGUAUAAUGGGUCAGCGACUUAUAUUCUGUAGCAAGGUUAACCGUAUAGGGGAGCCGCAGGGAAACCGAGUCUUAACUGGGCGUUAAGUUGCAGGGUAUAGACCCGAAACCCGGUGAUCUAGCCAUGGGCAGGUUGAAGGUUGGGUAACACUAACUGGAGGACCGAACCGACUAAUGUUGAAAAAUUAGCGGAUGACUUGUGGCUGGGGGUGAAAGGCCAAUCAAACCGGGAGAUAGCUGGUUCUCCCCGAAAGCUAUUUAGGUAGCGCCUCGUGAAUUCAUCUUCGGGGGUAGAGCACUGUUUCGGCUAGGGGGUCAUCCCGACUUACCAACCCGAUGCAAACUACGAAUACCGAAGAAUGUUAUCACGGGAGACACACGGCGGGUGCUAACGUCCGUCGUGAAGAGGGAAACAACCCAGACCGCCAGCUAAGGUCCCAAAGUCAUGGUUAAGUGGGAAACGAUGUGGGAAGGCACAGACAGCCAGGAUGUUGGCUUAGAAGCAGCCAUCAUUUAAAGAAAGCGUAAUAGCUCACUGGUCGAGUCGGCCUGCGCGGAAGAUGUAACGGGGCUAAACCAUGCACCGAAGCUGCGGCAGCGACACUAUGUGUUGUUGGGUAGGGGAGCGUUCUGUAAGCCUGCGAAGGUGACCUGUGAGGGUUGCUGGAGGUAUCAGAAGUGCGAAUGCUGACAUAAGUAACGAUAAAGCGGGUGAAAAGCCCGCUCGCCGGAAGACCAAGGGUUCCUGUCCAACGUUAAUCGGGGCAGGGUGAGUCGACCCCUAAGGCGAGGCCGAAAGGCGUAGUCGAUGGGAAACAGGUUAAUAUUCCUGUACUUGGUGUUACUGCGAAGGGGGGACGGAGAAGGCUAUGUUAGCCGGGCGACGGUUGUCCCGGUUUAAGCAUGUAGGCUGGUUGUCCAGGCAAAUCCGGAUAAUCAAGGCUGAGGUGUGAUGACGAGGCACUACGGUGCUGAAGUAACAAAUGCCCUGCUUCCAGGAAAAGCCUCUAAGCAUCAGGUAACAUUAAAUCGUACCCCAAACCGACACAGGUGGUCAGGUAGAGAAUACCAAGGCGCUUGAGAGAACUCGGGUGAAGGAACUAGGCAAAAUGGUGCCGUAACUUCGGGAGAAGGCACGCUGGUGUGUAGGUGAAGUCCCUGCGGAUGGAGCUGAGACCAGUCGAAGAUACCAGCUGGCUGCAACUGUUUAUUAAAAACACAGCACUGUGCAAACACGAAAGUGGACGUAUACGGUGUGACGCCUGCCCGGUGCCGGAAGGUUAAUUGAUGGGGUUAUCCGUAAGGAGAAGCUCUUGAUCGAAGCCCCGGUAAACGGCGGCCGUAACUAUAACGGUCCUAAGGUAGCGAAAUUCCUUGUCGGGUAAGUUCCGACCUGCACGAAUGGCGUAAUGAUGGCCAGGCUGUCUCCACCCGAGACUCAGUGAAAUUGAACUCGCUGUGAAGAUGCAGUGUACCCGCGGCAAGACGGAAAGACCCCGUGAACCUUUACUAUAGCUUGACACUGAACAUUGAGCCUUGAUGUGUAGGAUAGGUGGGAGGCUUUGAAGCGUGGACGCCAGUCUGCGUGGAGCCAACCUUGAAAUACCACCCUUUAAUGUUUGAUGUUCUAACGUUGGCCCCUUACCGGGGUUGCGGACAGUGUCUGGUGGGUAGUUUGACUGGGGCGGUCUCCUCCCAAAGCGUAACGGAGGAGCACGAAGGUUAGCUAAUCCUGGUCGGACAUCAGGAGGUUAGUGCAAUGGCAUAAGCUAGCUUGACUGCGAGCGUGACGGCGCGAGCAGGUGCGAAAGCAGGUCAUAGUGAUCCGGUGGUUCUGAAUGGAAGGGCCAUCGCUCAACGGAUAAAAGGUACUCCGGGGAUAACAGGCUGAUACCGCCCAAGAGUUCAUAUCGACGGCGGUGUUUGGCACCUCGAUGUCGGCUCAUCACAUCCUGGGGCUGAAGUAGGUCCCAAGGGUAUGGCUGUUCGCCAUUUAAAGUGGUACGCGAGCUGGGUUUAGAACGUCGUGAGACAGUUCGGUCCCUAUCUGCCGUGGGCGCUGGAGAAUUGAGGGGGGCUGCUCCUAGUACGAGAGGACCGGAGUGGACGCAUCACUGGUGUUCGGGUUGUCAUGCCAAUGGCACUGCCCGGUAGCUAAAUGCGGAAGAGAUAAGUGCUGAAAGCAUCUAAGCACGAAACUUGCCCCGAGAUGAGUUCUCCCUGAGACUUUAAGUCUCCUGAAGGAACGUUAAAGACGAUGACGUUGAUAGGCCGGGUGUGUAAGCGCAGCGAUGCGUUGAGCUAACCGGUACUAAUGAACCGUGAGGCUUAACCUUACAACGCCGAAG